rnacentral:rRNA from 1 species
AUGCGUUAAUAGGGCGUCGAGCGGCGGACGGGUGAGUAAUGCCUAGGAAAUUGCCUUGAUGUGGGGGAUAACCAUUGGAAACGAUGGCUAAUACCGCAUAAUGCCUACGGGCCAAAGAGGGGGACCUUCGGGCCUCUCGCGUCAAGAUAUGCCUAGGUGGGAUUAGCUAGUUGGUGAGGUAAUGGCUCACCAAGGCGACGAUCCCUAGCUGGUCUGAGAGGAUGAUCAGCCACACUGGAACUGAGACACGGUCCAGACUCCUACGGGAGGCAGCAGUGGGGAAUAUUGCACAAUGGGCGAAAGCCUGAUGCAGCCAUGCCGCGUGUAUGAAGAAGGCCUUCGGGUUGUAAAGUACUUUCAGUUGUGAGGAAGGUGGUAGCGUUAAUAGCGCUAUCUCUUGACGUUAGCAACAGAAGAAGCACCGGCUAACUCCGUGCCAGCAGCCGCGGUAAUACGGAGGGUGCGAGCGUUAAUCGGAGUUACUGCGCGUAAGCGCAUGCAGGUGGUUCAUUAAGUCAGAUGUGAAGCCGGGCUCACCUCGGACUGCAUUGAACUGUGACUAGAGUACUGUAGAGGG